ACUAACGCUGGCGGCGUGCCUAACACAUGCAAGUCGAACGAUCUUGAUUUAUAGCAAUAUUAUUAAAGAGGAGUGGCGAACGGGUGAGUAACACGUAGAUAAUCUGCCUUUCAGACGGGGACAACUCAGGGAAACUUGUGCUAAUACCCGAUGAGACCACAAGAAGGGAUUUUUGUGGCCAAAGGCGGGCAGCAAUGCUCGUGCUGAAAGAUGAGUCUGCGUCCUAUCAGCUAGUUGGUGGGGUAAAUGCCUACCAAGGCUAAGACGGGUAGCCGGCCUGAGAGGGUGAACGGCCACACUGGGACUGAGACACGGCCCAGACUCCUACGGGAGGCAGCAGUGAGGAAUUUUCCGCAAUGGGCGCAAGCCUGACGGAGCGACGCCGCGUGAGGGAUGACAGCUUUCGGGUUGUAAACCUCUUUUAUUAAGGAAAAAGAUCUAUAUGCUAAUAUCAUGUAGAUUUGAUGGUACUUAUUGAAUAAGCCCCGGCUAACUACGUGCCAGCCGCCGC
rnacentral:rRNA from 1 species